rnacentral:lncRNA from 1 species
AGAUUUUAGAGGAUUUUAUCAUAUUUUGGAUGUUGUUGGUUACUUGAGGCUUAUGUAUUUGGUGUAAUUGCUCAAAAAAGGAAAAAUUUAUAUAUAAAAUUAGGGCUUUUUUUAUUUUGAAGCUUGAUUGAAUGAUUAGUGAUAGCCAGAAGCCCAACAGUUUCUUGAGGCAAACUCUCUCUACCCUGAUACUGGAAAAUCUUGACGACCUUGAUU